UGCAAGUCGAACGGGACCUUUCGGGGUCUAGUGGCGGACGGGUGAGUAACGCGUGAGAACAUGCCCUUAGGUUCGGGACAACAGUUGGAAACGGCUGCUAAUACCGAAUGUGCCGAGAGGUGAAAGAUUAAUUGCCUAAGGAUUGGCUCGCGUCAGAUUAGCUAGUUGGUGGGGUAAGAGCUUACCAAGGCAACGAUCUGUAUUUGGUCUGAGAGGAUGACCAGACACACUGGGAUUGAGACACGGCCCAGACUCCUACGGGAGGCAGCAGUGGGGAAUUUUCCGCAAUGGGCGAAAGCCUGACGGAGCAAUACCGCGUGAGGGAGGACGGCUUUUGGGUUGUAAACCUCUUUUAUCAGGGAAGAAACAAAUGACGGUACCUGAUGAAUCAGCAUCGGCUAACUCCGUGCUAGCAGCCGCGGUAAUACGGAGGAUGCAAGCGUUAUCCGGAAUUAUUGGGCGUAAAGCGUCCGUAGGUGGUUUUUCAAGUCUGCUGUCAAAGCGUGGAGCUUAACUCCAUAUCGGCAGUGGAAACUGGGAGACUAGAGUGCGAUAGGGGUAACGGGAAUUCCCAGUGUAGCGGUGAAAUGCGUAGAGAUCGGGAAGAACAUCGGUGGCGAAAGCGCUCUACUGGACGGCAACUGACACUCAGGGACGAAAGCUAGGGGAGCGAAUGGGAUUAGAUACCCCAGUAGUCCUAGCCGUA
rnacentral:rRNA from 1 species